AUCCAGCUGGCGAGUUUCAAAGAGGACGAAACUCAAGUUCUGGAU
rnacentral:hammerhead_ribozyme from 1 species